UAUGUGAAUUUGGGUUAAAGUGGCAUGAUGAUAAUUUAUCUGUGUCCUAAUUCUCUGUUCAUGAUAAUUUCUCUAAUUCGGAUCGCUUUAAUUUUUAUUUUCUUCGCAUUGUGCUCAAAUUUCAUGAUCAGAAAAUGUAGGAAAUGAAAUGAAAGUGUUUUACUAAAUCUGGCCUUGUAAUACAAUUUCACUCAGUUCAGGCAAUUCUUCUUUGUAAAGUGGAGACCAAAAUAUUUCAAUUUCUUAUUUUCUCUCCCAAUUGCACAGAAAACAAACAGAGGUUAAAGAUUUUUUUUUUUCCGUGUGACAUGUACUGUUGGGCAGUUUGUAUUGAGUGUUUGUUAUUGGUUUAUAUUUAUUAUCAUUAAGACAGGCUUUGAAAUCUAGUGGUUGGUGAAAUUUAAGUACCGUGUAUGCUUGUGCUAUUUCUAGAACUACGAAAAGUGGAAGUUAGGUGGCUGGUUGGAAUUUGGAUUAUUUAAACCUUAUUUAUGACGUUGUCUUCUGUUUAUGAAUCUUUCGUUAUAUUACAUAGAAGAUUAUACAGUUUAGAAUGAUGGAUUUGAUUAGUAUUUUUGAAGGGAUGACAGGAACAAGCAAAAAUAUAAAAAU
rnacentral:misc_RNA from 1 species